CCAUCCAUCCAUCCAUCCAUCCAUCCAUCCAUCCAUCCAUCCAGGAUGGGUCAGCUCCUCUGGGGGAACCCUGAGGCGCUCCCACACCAGCUGAGAAACAUAGUCUGUCCAGCGUGUCCUGGGUCUCUUCCUGGGUCUCCUCCUGUUGGGAGAGCCAAUAUCUACGAAGCCCAAACUGGUUUAUAACAUCAGUGAGCCUGACUUAAAUGGAUCCUGCACAGUUUAUCUGGAAUGCAGAGCAGCUCCUCACAGAAACACCAACUACAUCCUGACUGUAGGAAACCAAACACAUGAAGGCCCCAAGCUGCAUUACCACAUCACACCACAAGAUGGAGACACAACAGUCACCUGCAAUGCCUCUAAUGCUGUCAGUGAGAUGUCAGCAUCAGAAACAUUGAGGUGUAGAAACACUGACAGCCUCUCUAACAAAGGCUCAAACAUCCUGCAGCAGUCGACCAGGAUGAGAGUCAGCAGCAUCCCCACUCCUCACCUGCUGCUGGUGAUGCUUCAGAGUAUGAACCCAUGAGAGGCUCUACAGAUGCUGAACAAGGGGAAAUUCAGAGGAAUACGUCCUUCCUCAACAAGCUGCUAUCAAGGAUCAGGACAAGGUUGAUGAGAACUAAUAGACAGGAAGGUCGUCUGACCCACUGCAUUAACUCAUUCUAACUGUCAUUAAAAGCUUUUGUUACUCAUAA